rnacentral:rRNA from 1 species
GACGAACGCUGGCGGCGUGCUUAACACAUGCAAGUCGAACGGUGAAGCGCCUUCCUUUUUGGUGGGUGUGGAUGAGUGGCGAACGGGUGAGUAACACGUGAGUAACCUGCCCCCUUCUUCUGGAUAACCGCAUGAAAGUGUGGCUAAUACGGGAUAUUCUGGGUCUGUCGCAUGAUGGGUCUGGGAAAGAUAUUGUUUCGGUGGGGGAUGGGCUCGCGGCCUAUCAGCUUGUUGGUGGGGUGAUGGCCUACCAAGGCGGUGACGGGUAGCCGGCCUGAGAGGGUGGACGGUCACACGGGGACUGAGACACGGCCCAGACUCCUAUGGGAGGCAGCAGUGGGGAAUAUUGCACAAUGGGCGCAAGCCUGAUGCAGCGACGCCGCGUGAGGGAUGGAGGCCUUCGGGUUGUGAACCUCUUUCGCCAGUGAAGCAGGCCUGCCUCGUUUGUGGGUGGGUUGACGGUAGCUGGAUAAGAAGCGCCGGCUAACUACGUG